ensembl:piRNA 21ur-3931 ncRNA
UGAGAACAUAGCUUUUUUUCA